rnacentral:lncRNA from 1 species
GUCCACGUGAGGCAUGCAGCGUGGGAGCACCUACUAUCCUGCAGGCUCCAGGGGACAAGAGCCCAAGUGAGGCUGCCAGGCGGGAGGCUGCUGCAGGGGACCAGGUUGGCUCAGAAAACCGGAGGUGAAGCUGAAGCAGCCCAGCUGGCCCUAAGAAGCCCUGGACGCUCCCUCCCAUCCUCACAUCGUUGAGUCAAUGCUAUUAUUUGAAUGUCUGUGUCCCCUCCAAAAUUCAUGUUGGAACUUAAUCCUUAAGGAGCAGUUUUAAGAGAUGGGGCCUUUAGGUCAUGAGGGCUCUGCUCUAUGAAUGGAUUAGUGUCUUAUAAAAGGGCUUGAGGGGGCCAGUUCCCCCCUCUUCAGUCCCAUAUGCCAUGUGAAGACACAGUUCAUGGUGCCAUCUUGGAAGCAGAGAGCAACCCUUAACAGACACUGAACAAGCCCGUGCCUUGAUCUUGGACUUCACAGCGUCCAGAACAGUGAGAAAUAAAUUUCUGUUGUUUACAAAUUAUCCAGUGUAUUAGUCUGUUUUCCCACUGUUGAUACAGACAUACCCAAGACUGGGCAAUUUACAAAAGAAAGAGGUUUAAUGG